rnacentral:rRNA from 1 species
AGAGAAUAGAUACCCAGGUAGUCCACGCCCUAAACGAUGUCUACUAGUUGUCGGGGAUUCAUUUCCUUGGUAAACGCAGCUAAACGCGUGAAGUAGACCGCCUGGGGAGUACGGCCGCAAGGUUAAAACUCAAAGGAAUUGACGGGGACCCGCACAAGCGGUGGAUGAUGUGGAUUAAUUCGAUGCAACGCGAAAAACCUUACCUACGCUUGACAUGCCAGGGAACUUUCCAGAGAUGGAUUGGUGCCCGAAAGGGAACCUGGACACAGGUGCUGCAUGGCUGUCGUCAGCUCGUGUCGUGAGAUGUUGGGUUAAGUCCCGCAACGAGCGCAACCCUUAUCCUUAGUUGCUACGCAAGGGCACUCUAGGGAGACUGCCGGUGACAAACCGGAGGAAGGUGGGGAUGACGUCAAGUCCUCAUGGCCCUUAUGUGUAGGGCUUCACACGUCAUACAAUGGUCGGUACAGAGGGUCGCCAACCCGCGAGGGGGUAGCCAAUCCCAGAAACCCGAAUCGUAGUCCGGAUUGCAGUCUGCAACUCG